rnacentral:rRNA from 1 species
UGGGAUAAGCGCUGGAAACGGCGUCUAAUACUGGAUAUGUGACGUGACCGCAUGGUCUGCGUCUGGAAAGAAUUUCGGUUGGGGAUGGGCUCGCGGCCUAUCAGCUUGUUGGUGAGGUAAUGGCUCACCAAGGCGUCGACGGGUAGCCGGCCUGAGAGGGUGACCGGCCACACUGGGACUGAGACACGGCCCAGACUCCUACGGGAGGCAGCAGUGGGGAAUAUUGCACAAUGGGCGCAAGCCUGAUGCAGCAACGCCGCGUGAGGGACGACGGCCUUCGGGUUGUAAACCUCUUUUAGCAGGGAAGAAGCGAAAGUGACGGUACCUGCAGAAAAAGCGCCGGCUAACUACGUGCCAGCAGCCGCGGUAAUACGUAGGGCGCAAGCGUUAUCCGGAAUUAUUGGGCGUAAAGAGCUCGUAGGCGGUUUGUCGCGUCUGCUGUGAAAUCCGGAGGCUCAACCUCCGGCCUGCAGUGGGUACGGGCAGACUAGAGUGCGGUAGGGGAGAUUGGAAUUCCUGGUGUAGCGGUGGAAUGCGCAGAUAUCAGGAGGAACACCGAUGGCGAAGGCAGAUCUCUGGGCCGUAACUGACGCUGAGGAGCGAAAGGGUGGGGAGCAAACAGGCUUAGAUACCCUGGUAGUCCACCCCGUAAACGUUGGGAACUAGUUGUGGGGUCCAUUCCACGGAUUCCGUGACGCAGCUAACGCAUUAAGUUCCCCGCCUGGGGAGUACGGCCGCAAGGCUAAAACUCAAAGGAAUUGACGGGGACCCGCACAAGCGGCGGAGCAUGCGGAUUAAUUCGAUGCAACGCGAAGAACCUUACCAAGGCUUGACAUAUACGAGAACGGGCCAGAAAUGGUCAACUCUUUGGACACUCGUAAACAGGUGGUGCAUGGUUGUCGUCAGCUCGUGUCGUGAAAUGUUGGGUUAAGUCCCGCAACGAGCGCAACCCUCGUUCUAUGUUGCCAGCACGUAAUGGUGGGAACUCAUGGGAUACU